CUGCUUAUUUGAUGGGUGUGUGCAUGCCCCUGGAGGCACUGUUUAUUCCAAGAGUGUUUGAGGGGCUUCUGAGCAUGGUUUUCACACCUGUGUGGGUGCAUGUGGAGGCUUCAGCGUGAGUGCUGGCUACUGACACUGUGAGCACUGGGAACUAAAAAGUUGGCACAACGACUUCAUGUGGCCUGGCAUGCUACCCUUCAGGAGGGACAAGGUCCCUGACUCCAAUCCUGAGCCCUUCGCCCCAUGUUGGGUGGUGGAGCAACAGAACUGCUAGAGGCCCGGGACUGGCAUCCAGGGGGAGGUGGGAAAUCCCAUAUGCAAAUCCCAGGGAGGGGGAACUGCCAUGUCCUGCUCCCUUUUUGUUCCCUGACAACUGUAGCUGAGAAUCAUGGGUCAGUCUGGGGCUAGUGCUGAUGGUGAGGCAGGAGAAGUGGCUGAAGUAGUAGGGCCCCAUGAGUGUCAGAUUGCAGCGCAGGCUCCUCCUGUUCCUCUGGGAAGUAACCUGUCUCACCCCACUGGGCACCCCUACACACCUGACCCCAUGCCUUCUUCCAUUGCUCCUGUGUUUCUCCCCUGGUCCCUAACCCCUAAGUGUAAGUUCCCUGCUCCCCUCCCCUGCAGGGCUCAUCACCAGCAGCCAGUCGGCAGCUUAUGCUAUCAGCAAGUUUGUCAGUGGGGUGCUGUCUGACCAGAUGAGUGCUCGCUGGCUCUUCUCUUCUGGGCUGCUCCUGGUUGGCCUGGUCAACAUAUUCUUUUCCUGGAGCUCCACAGUACCUGUCUUUGCUGCCCUCUGGUUCCUUAAUGGCCUGGCCCAGGGGCUGGGCUGGCCCCCAUGUGGGAAGGUCCUGCGGAAGGUGAGUGCUUCCAAAGAGCCUGUUUGGAUUGUCAUAGAGGAUGCCUAAAGAGCAUGUGGGAGCGCCCCUUCUUACCCACCACCUCCACACCGAACCCAGAGCAGGUUCCUGAGCGGUUCCUGGCCAGCUCCUAUUGCUUGUCAAGAUAUUUUAGGAGGCUGAGAGUGGUGGGGUCAGGUGGCAGAGGAGGAAACUGCCCUGCCAAACAGAAGCGCCCUCUCCCUCUUCCCUGUAAUGUGAGCUUCUGGGGCUGCCCCACCUGACCCCACCCUCAACAUGGGCAGUAGGCUGGACACCUAUGUUGUCGCCCUCUGCCCCACAGUGGUUUGAGCCAUCUCAGUUUGGCACUUGGUGGGCCAUCCUAUCAACCAGCAUGAACCUGGCUGGAGGGCUGGGCCCUAUCCUGGCAACCAUCCUCGCCCAGAGCUACAGCUGGCGCAGCACGCUGGCCCUGUCUGGGGCACUGUGUGUGGUUGUCUCCUUCCUCUGUCUCCUGCUCAUCCACAAUGAACCUGCUGAUGUUGGACUCCGCAACCUGGACCCCAUGCCCUCUAAGGGCAAGAAGGGCUCCUUGAAGGAGGAGAGCACCCUACAGGAGCUGCUGCUGUCCCCUUACCUGUGGGUGCUCUCCACUGGUUACCUUGUGGUGUUUGGAGUAAAGACCUGCUGUACUGACUGGGGCCAGUUCUUCCUUAUCCAGGAGAAAGGACAGUCAGCCCUUGUAGGUAGCUCCUACAUGAGUGCCCUGGAAGUUGGGGGCCUUGUAGGCAGCAUCGCAGCUGGCUACCUGUCAGACCGGGCCAUGGCAAAGGCGGGACUGUCCAACUAUGGGAACCCUCGCCAUGGCCUGUUGCUGUUCAUGAUGGCUGGCAUGACAGUGUCCAUGUACCUCUUCCGGGUAACAGUGACCAGUGACUCCCCCAAGCUCUGGAUCCUGGUAUUAGGAGCUGUAUUUGGUUUCUCCUCGUAUGGCCCCAUUGCCCUGUUUGGAGUCAUAGCCAAUGAGAGCGCCCCUCCCAAAUUGUGUGGCACCUCCCACGCCAUUGUGGGACUCAUGGCCAAUGUGGGCGGCUUUCUGGCUGGGCUGCCCUUCAGCACCAUUGCCAAGCACUACAGUUGGAGCACAGCAUUCUGGGUGGCUGAAGUGAUUUGUGCAGCCAGCACAGCUGCCUUCUUCCUCCUACGAAACAUCCGCACCAAGAUGGGCCGAGUGUCCAAGAAGGCUGAGUGAAGAGAGUCCAGGCUCCGGAGCACCAUCCCACGGUGGCCUUCCCCCUGCACGCUGUGGGGGAGAAAAGGAGGGGCCUGCCUGGCUAGCCCUGAACCUUUCACUUUCCAUUUCUGCGCCUUUUCCCUCACCUGGGUGGCACUGGAAGUUAUCAGUGGCUAGUGAGGUCCCAGCUCCCCGAUCCUAUGCUCUAUUUAAAAGAUAACCUUUGGCCUUAGACUCCAUUAGCUCCUAUUUCCUGCCUUCAGACAAACAGGAAACUUCUGCAGUCAGGAAGCCUCCUGUACCCUUCUUCUUUUCCUAGGCCCUGUCCUGCCCCCAUCCCCACCAGAAGUGAGGCUAUCCCUGCAGCUGCAGGGCACUAAUGACCCUUGACUUCUGCUGGGCCCUAAGUCCUCUCAGCAGUGGUCGACUGCUGUUGCCAAUACCUCAGACUCCAGGGAAAGAGAGGAGGCCAUCAUUCUCACUGCACCACUAGGCGCAGUUGGAUAUAGCUGGGAAGACAAGAUGACUUGUUAUAGAAGAUUAAAACUAGAUUUGAUACUG
rnacentral:sRNA from 1 species